CAGUAGCCGCGGUAACACGUAGGGUGCGAGCGUUAAUCGGAAUUACUGGGCGUAAAGCGUGCGCAGGCGGUUGUGUAAGACAGGUGUGAAAUCCCCGGGCUUAACCUGGGAACUGCGCUUGUGACUGCACAGCUAGAGUAUGGCAGAGGGGGGUGGAAUUCCACGUGUAGCAGUGAAAUGCGUAGAGAUGUGGAGGAACACCGAUGGCGAAGGCAGCCCCCUGGGCCAAUACUGACGCUCAUGCACGAAAGCGUGGGGAGCAAACAGGAUUAGAUACCCGUGUAGUCCCUGUCUCUUAUAC
rnacentral:rRNA from 1 species